UACGAGGGGGGCGAGCGUUGUUCGGAAUUAUUGGGCGUAAAGAGCUCGUAGGCGGUCUGUUGCGUCGGCUGUGAAAACCCGGGGCUCAACCCCGGGCCUGCAGCCGAUACGGGCAGACUAGAGUUCGGCAGGGGAGACUGGAAUUCCCGGUGUAGCGGUGAAAUGCGCAGAUAUCGGGAAGAACACCCGUGGCGAAGGCGGCACUCUGGGACGGUACUGACGCUGAGACGCGAAAGCGUGGGGAGCAAACAGG
rnacentral:rRNA from 1 species